AGGCAGCACUGAGCCAGUUAGUUAUCAAGGUGAGGUCAGAGGGCAACAACAAUGGCAGGCAGCACAAAGAGGAGGAAAAACAUGUAACUGACAAGAAAAGUUCAAAAGUAAGCUGAAGAUCUGUGCUGAAGGAUUUUGCUCGCUUCUCCAGCGCCUGAGGAGAGUUUACUGAUGCUGUUUGCUGCAGCCAGAGGCCUGAACGCUGCUGUAAGGCAGACAGCUCAUCAGGAUGAGUGACAAGCUUCUGGGCAGGAACAACAGCAGCAGAGGAGGAGAGGGCCAGACUAACAAUAGAGGCUGUGCCUGGAGGCGAAGACUGGAGGAGAGAUCAUCUCGGAAACCAAAGGCCACACAGUUGAAUCUUGCAGCCGCCAGCCUGUCAAAGUGUCACCGAGCAAGGAACUGAACUCCCACCUGCUUACUCAGAGCGUGAGGGGAGUUCAGAUCGUAGUGGCGCAGUGUGCAGCUGAGUGCUAUUUAAUUACCUGCUUUUGGAAAACCACUGGGAAUGCAACUAAUUUAGGACUUGUUUGAAGGGUAAACAAAUGCGCCAGAAGAUGUCUCCCAUCACCCUCCCAGCAGAGGAAGAGGAGGGGGCACGAGAGGCAGAAGCUGCUUUUUAUCACAAAUAUUAUAAUAGCUGUCUGCGAAGCUCUUGGAGGGAACUGAAGGCAUGCAGUAAUAGUGACAUUGAAUGGUCUUAACUUUGCAUAACACCACAGUGAAUUGAUCAAGCUUUGGGUUGUGCUGGUAUUCAAAUAGCGAGCUUUGUUCUGAAACACACUCGCCGAGCGUAAAGGCUUUGGAAACAAAAGCAGGAGAAUAAAACAGAAAAUAACUUUUUUAUCCUCGAGCACAGUUUUUCAAACCUGCAGGUGUAGGAGCGAGCUGAAAUGUUGACAGAUAUGCCGAGUAGGUUUGAGACAUCAGGUGUGGAUGUCUAAUUUUGGACCUUGACGAAAUCUUUAUUGUUCAAAUGGGUACAUUACAUUCUCCGCCGGUUUUACUGUGGAUAAAUCAGAAGCCAACAAAACAUGAAAAAGUCUUUGUUGCUGUCAAGUUCGAGCCAAGUUCAGUGUUUCAAAGCAGCAGAAACGUGAUGACAAAUGUGGUCUCUGUGCCACCAUUGUGACAUCUACUGUUUCUGUUGUUCUUUUGUCUGAAGUAAGUUGAACGAUUUACUUUACAUGUCAGGUUUUUAGCAUUUAUCUAUUCAAUACACAUGCAUUUUGCAGUAAAGAGCAGUUUUUCCUAAUGGAUUCACUUGGUUCACUCUGAAUGGCCCCCAAGAAAACA